UACGGGGGGGGCAAGCGUUGUUCGGAAUUACUGGGCGUAAAGGGCUCGUAGGCGGCCAACUAAGUCAGACGUGAAAUCCCUCGGCUUAACCGGGGAACUGCAUCUGAUACUGGAUGGCUUGAGUUCGGGAGAGGGAUGCGGAAUUCCAGGUGUAGCGGUGAAAUGCGUAGAUAUCUGGAGGAACACCGGUGGCGAAGGCGGUUCUCUGGGCCUUACCCUGACGCUGAGGAGCGAAAGCGUGGGGAGCGAACAGG
rnacentral:rRNA from 1 species